rnacentral:sRNA from 1 species
AAACGUCAGCAGCAUGAAAUCCAAGGUUCUCAUGCCCGAACGUCAAUUGAAUCUGGUCUUGCCCCUGGCCCACAAGGCCACGGACAUGCGCACCACGGAUACCGCUGCCCCAGGGCAGGCCUGGUCCGGCGCAGUUUCCCCGCCGAUCGGCACCCGCCUUCGGCAGGGCGACGUGGAUAGCAAACACCGACG